GACGAACGCUGGCGGCGUGCCUAAUACAUGCAAGUAGGACGCAGUUGCGAACGUGUGAGUAACUCGUAGGUAACUACCUAUUAGAGGGGGAUAACUAUUGGAAACGAUAGCUAAUACCGCAUAUUAGUAGAUGGACCUGCGUUGUAUUAGCUAGUAGGUAGGGGAAUGUCCUACCCAGGCGACGAUACAUAGACGGUCUGAGAGGGUGAUCGGCAACACUGGGACUGAGACACGGCCCAGACUCCUACGGGAGGCAGCAGUAGGGAAUCUUCCGCAAUGGGGGGAAGCCUGACGGAGCAACGCCGCGUGAGUGAAGACGGUUUUCGGAUCGUAAAGCUCUGUUAUUACGGACGCGGUACUUAACCAGAAAGGGACGGCUAACUACGUGCCAGCCGCCGCGGUAAUAC
rnacentral:rRNA from 1 species